ensembl:miRNA MIR193B microRNA 193b
CGGGGUUUUGAGGGCGAGAUGAGUUUAUGUUUGAUCCAACUGGCCCACAAAGUCCCGCU